rnacentral:rRNA from 1 species
GAGUUUGAUCAUGGCUCAGGAUGAACGCUAGCGACAGGCUUAACACAUGCAAGUCGAGGGGCAGCGGGGAGGUAGCAAUACUUCCGCCGGCGACCGGCGCACGGGUGAGUAACACGUAUGGAACCUGCCCGUAGCAGGGGGAUAAGCGGAAGAAAUUCCGUCUAAUACCGCGUAAUAACUCCGAGAGGCAUCUCCUGGGGUUUAAAGGGUAACACCGGCUACGGAUGGCCAUGCGGCGCAUUAGCUAGUUGGCGGGGUAACGGCCCACCAAGGCGACGAUGCGUAGGGGUUCUGAGAGGAAGGUCCCCCACACUGGUACUGAGACACGGACCAGACUCCUACGGGAGGCAGCAGUGAGGAAUAUUGGUCAAUGGGCGCGAGCCUGAACCAGCCAAGUCGCGUGAGGGAUGACGGUCCUACGGAUUGUAAACCUCUUUUGCCGGGGAGCAAGCGUGCGUUCGUGAACGCGCGUCGAGAGUACCCGGAGAGAAAGCAUCGGCUAACUCCGUGCCAGCAGCCGCGGUAAUACGGAGGAUGCGAGCGUUAUCCGGAUUUAUUGGGUUUAAAGGGUGCGUAGGCGGGAUGCCAAGUCAGCGGUAAAAUUGCGGGGCUCAACCCCGUCGAGCCGUUGAAACUGUCAGACUUGAGUUGGCGAGAAGUACGCGGAAUGCGCGGUGUAGCGGUGAAAUGCAUAGAUAUCGCGCAGAACUCCGAUUGCGAAGGCAGCGUACCGGCGCCACACUGACGCUGAGGCACGAAAGCGUGGGGAUCGAACAGGAUUAGAUACCCUGGUAGUCCACGCAGUAAACGAUGAAUGCUGGUUGUCCGGGUCGAAUGAGACCUGGGCGGCGAAGCGAAAGCGAUAAGCAUUCCACCUGGGGAGUACGCCGGCAACGGUGAAACUCAAAGGAAUUGACGG